rnacentral:rRNA from 1 species
AACGAACGCUGGCGGCAUGCCUAACACAUGCAAGUCGAACGAGACCUUCGGGUCUAGUGGCGCACGGGUGCGUAACGCGUGGGAACCUGCCCUUAGGUUCGGAAUACCUCCCCGAAAGGGGUGCUAAUACCGGAUAAUGUCUUCGGACCACAGAUUUAUCGCCUUUGGAUGGGCCCGCGUUGGAUUAGCUAGUUGGUAGGGUAAUAGCCUACCAAGGCGACGAUCCAUAGCUGGUCUGAGAGGAUGAUCAGCCACACUGGGACUGGGACACGGCCCAGACUACUACAGGAGGCAGCAGUGGGGAAUAUUGGACAAUGGGCGAAAGCCUGAUCCAGCAAUGCCGCGUGAGUGAUGAAGGCCUUAGGGUUGUAAAGCUCUUUUACCCGGGAUGAUAAUGACAGUACCGAGAGAAUAAGCUCCGGCUAACUCCGUG